GGGGUGGUAGUCUAGCUUGGUCCAGGAUUCCGGCCUAGGGCGCCGGCGACCGGGGUUCAAAUCCCCGCCACCCCA
rnacentral:tRNA from 2 species